CUAAGUGCGAAGCCCCCCACAAGAUGAAUUUUCCCUUGAGGGUCGUGGUAGAUCACCACGUAGAUAGGCGGCAGGUGUACGUGUGGUAACACAUUAAGCUGAGCCGUACUAAUUACCCGAAUGACUUUCUUCU
rnacentral:rRNA from 1 species